CCCCCGUGGGACCCCACCAGAACGGGCGGAGCCACCAGCAGGGCCCGCUGCACCACCAGCCCGCGCCCAACACACACUUCUGGUCCCAGCACCACAGCUCCACACCGUUCCCCCAGCCGGUGUCCAACCACCCAGGUCCGGAGUUCUGGUGCUCCAUCUCCUACUUCGAGAUGGACAUCCAGGUGGGGGAGAUGUUCAAGGUGCUGUCCAGCUGCCCGCUGGUGACGGUGGACGGCUACGUGGAUCCGUCCGGCGGCGACCGCUUCUGCCUGGGCCAGCUCAGCAACGUGCACCGCACCGACACCAGCGAGCGCGCACGGCUUCACAUCGGGCGGGGCGUGCAGCUGGAGUGCCGCGGCGAGGGCGACGUGUGGAUGCGUUGCCUUAGCGACCACUCGGUGUUCGUCCAGAGCUACUACCUUGACCGGGAGGCGGGCCGGGCGCCAGGCGACGCCGUGCACAAGAUCUACCCGGGAGCGCACAUCAAGGUGUUCGACCUGCGGCAGUGCCACAGACAGAUGCAGCAGCAGGCGGCCACGGCGCAGGCUGCCGCCGCAGCGCAGGCUGCUGCGGUCGUCGGUGCAAUUCCCGGACCGGGGAGCGUAGGGGGCAUCGCCCCCGCAGUCAGUCUGUCGGUGGCGGCGGGCAUCGGCGUGGACGACCUGAGGAAGCUGUGCAUCCUGCGGCUGAGCUUCGUGAAGGGCUGGGGGCCGGACUAUCCCCGGCAGAGCAUCAAGGACACCCCCUGCUGGGUGGAGGUGCAACUGCACCGACCGCUGCAGCUGCUGGACGAGGUGCUGCACACCAUCCCGCUGAGGGAGCCCAGCCAGAACAACUGAGAGAGGGGGGGGCAGGUGUGUGUGUGUGUGUGUGUGUGUGUGUGUGUGUGUGUGUGUGUGUGUGUGUUGGGGAACAAAGUGACACCCACAACAGACUGUGUUUGUGUGUGUUUGCGUGUGUGUACACGUGUGUGUGUGUGUGUGUGUGUGUGUGCGCGUGUUUGUGUGUUCGCGUGUGCGUGCGUGUGUGUGUGUGUGGACCGCAGGCCAAAGCUCUCUUUCUUGUGCUUUAUAUUAAUGUCUUGUUAUGAGAAGUUUGUUUCGCUGGAAUCAGUAAUCUCCCUGGAGGAUGAGAUAUCAAGUUACCCCCCUGAUUGGGUGAUUAAAACCACCCACCAAUCAUAAUUCUCAAUGUCGGGUCACGUGACCGGACUCUGAGGAGGGCGCAGAAGGCUCUAGAUUCUUCUCAAUCAAUCUAUUCCACCUUGGAAAGCAUCGAUCUCUACACCUACCGGACAGAACAACGGCAUCAAAUGGAAAAGCAUUUGUUUUGUUACGCUAACAUGUUACGCCCAAGAGUAUGCUCACAGGUUAUGCUAACAUGUAAUGCUAACAGGUCAUGUUAGCAAGUUUUGCUAACAUUUAAUGCUCACAUUUUAUGAUUAUAGGCUAUAUGGUCACAGGCUAUGCUAACAGGUAAUGAUCAUAGUCUAUGGUCACAUGUUAUGCUAAUAGGCCAAAUGGUCAAAGGGUAUGCUAACAUAAUAUGCUCAUGGUCUAAUGGUCACAGGCUCUGCUCACAUGUUAUGCAAACAUGUUAGGCUAAUAGGCUAUGUUAUGCUAUGCUAACAGGUUAUGCUCAUAGCCUAUGGUCAAAUGUGAUGCUAACAGGCUAUACGAUCCCAGGCUGUGCUCACAGGAUAAUCAAUCACUUUGUUAAGCAAGACAUUCCCUCGACGCUUAAGGACCAAAAAGUUUAAUAAUAUUAAUGAUAAUAAUAAUAAUAAUAGGUAAAACAGGCAAACUCAGCUCUCUCUGCAUAUGUCCGGUGCUCUGUUCCAUGUUUACUUACUGCCUUUGUGACCUCCAGAUGUUUUAAUCUAGAUGUUUUAAACCAGAUGUUUUAAACCCAGAUGUUAUAUCCAGUUGUAAUCUCAGAGAUGCAGGUCUAUACAAAGAACCCAAGAAACCUCCCUUCGAUCGCCAUAGUAACCAAGAGUACCAAAGCCAACCACUAGUUAGCUCUUAGUUGGCGUUAGUUAGCGUUAGCGACUGUACCGAUACCAAAUGAGUUCUAGGGGAACGGCCGGAUAAUCACCGCGUCACGGUUCCCCUCUCGAUCCAAAUCCUACUUCCUUUCCCCACGAUCGCCUGGAAGUGUUGCGGUGAUGGUCACUGACAUUAGCUUAGCCAUGCUAAUCUCUCAGCUAGUAGAAAAAGCCUAUACUUCCAUUUUGCUGCUGGGUUGAAAGGUUAGUUGCCAUGGAGACAUGGUUCUGAUCACGUUGGACGUGAAGACUAAUACACUGCCUAUCUCAAACGUGUGUGUGUGUGUGUGUUUGGCGGGUUGUGCACACAAUUGUGUGCACAGUGUAUUAUACGUCGUGGGCUGUGUAUUUUUUGUUGUCCCGUGAUUUGCAAUGUGUGCGCUUGUCCGUACGGGUUUGUGCCGUGUGUGUGUGUGUGUGUGUGUGUGUGUGCGUGUGAGGGAGCUAGUGUGUGUCUAUGCGUAGGUCGUCAAUCAAUAUGGCUUAAGACUUUAUAGAUCGUUCUCGUCUGCCUCUGUACAUCCCCUUCACUUUGACUUUCAGAUGACCUUUGACCUCGGGUCAUGACCUUUGACCUCGGGCCGCUCCCCGGUGACCUCAAAGGUUGACCCUAAUGUACAGGCUGGUCGCGUGAUGUCAUAAUAUUUAUCGCGGAGAAAAAGGUCUCGGGUUUAUCACUUCUAAAACCUCCAUGUUUCACCGCAGGCUUUAAGAAUUACAAAACCUUUAUUUGGACGAGAUCAGCAGCAACACACGUUAUCAGUUUCAAUAUCCGUGUGAUGUUCAUCAAAGCAUUAAAGCUCUCUGAUCCAAUCAGA